CUAAAGCGCCGAGAUCGCCGGAACGCGUCCAGACCGCCGGAACUCUCCGGCGAUCCUGCAGCGUUCCGGCGAUCCCGGCGAAAAGA
rnacentral:pre_miRNA from 1 species